rnacentral:rRNA from 1 species
AGAGUUUGAUCAUGGCUCAGAACGAACGCUGGCGGCAGGCCUAACACAUGCAAGUCGAACGCAUCCUUCGGGGUGAGUGGCAGACGGGUGAGUAACACGUGGGAACGUGCCUUUCGGUUCGGGAUAACCCAGGGAAACUUGGGCUAAUACCGGAUACGCCCUUUGGGGGAAAGAUUGAUUGCCGAAAGAUCGGCCCGCGUCUGAUUAGCUAGUUGGUGAGGUAACGGCUCACCAAGGCGACGAUCAGUAGCUGGUCUGAGAGGAUGAUCAGCCACACUGGGACUGAGACACGGCCCAGACUCCUACGGGAGGCAGCAGUGGGGAAUAUUGGACAAUGGGCGCAAGCCUGAUCCAGCCAUGCCGCGUGAGUGAUGAAGGCCCUAGGGUUGUAAAGCUCUUUCGGCGGGGACGAUAAUGACGGUACCCGCAGAAGAAGCCCCGGCUAACUUCGUGCCAGCAGCCGCGGUAAUACGAAGGGGGCUAGCGUUGUUCGGAAUCACUGGGCGUAAAGGGCGCGUAGGCGGCCAUUCAAGUCGGGGGUGAAAGCCUGUGGCUCAACCACAGAAUUGCCUUCGAUACUGUUUGGCUUGAGACCGGAAGAGGUCAGUGGAACUGCGAGUGUAGAGGUGAAAUUCGUAGAUAUUCGCAAGAACACCAGCGGCGAAGGCGGCUGACUGGUCCGGUUCUGACGCUGAGGCGCGAAAGCGUGGGGAGCAAACAGGAUUAGAUACCCUAGUAGUCC